rnacentral:sRNA from 1 species
GCCAGGCACGGUGGUGCACUCCUGUAAUCCCAGUUGCAUGGGAGGCUGAGGCAGGAGGAUCACAAGUGCAAAGCCAGCCUCAUCAAUGGUGAGGCCCUAAGCAGCUCAGCGAGACCCUGCCUCUA